AUUGAACGCUGGCGGCAGGCCUAACACAUGCAAGUCGAACGGUAACAGGAAACAGCUUGCUGUUUCGCUGACGAGUGGCGGACGGGUGAGUAAUGUCUGGGAAACUGCCUGAUGGAGGGGGAUAACUACUGGAAACGGUAGCUAAUACCGCAUAACGUCGCAAGACAAAAGAGGGGGACCUUCGGGCCUCUCGCCAUCGGAUGGGCCCAGAUGGGAUUAGCUAGUAGGUGGGGUAACGGCUCACCUAGGCGACGAUCCCUAGCCGGUCUGAGAGGAUGACCAGCCACACUGGAACUGAGACACGGUCCAGACUCCUACGGGAGGCAGCAGUGGGGAAUAUUGCACAAUGGGCGCAAGCCUGAUGCAGCCAUGCCGCGUGUAUGAAGAAGGCCUUUGGGUUGUAAAGUACUUUCAGCGGGGAGGAAGGGAGUAAAGUCAAUACCUUUGCUCAUUGACGUUACCCGCAGAAGAAGCACCGGCUAACUCCGUGCCAGCCGCCGCGGUAACAC
rnacentral:rRNA from 1 species